GGCUUCACCGAAAGCACACGCUCAGCGGCCUUCCCGGCGAGCGCGCAGCCCCAGUGAACCUAUGGCUCAGCAUUUUCAGAAGAAAGCCUGUCGGCAUAGACUUUCCGUGAUUUCAAAGGAGACGCUUCCAAAACCAAGGUCUUGACCUAGAUUUGGAAGCGAUCCCUCCAGAGCUUACAUUUGGAGACCGGUAGAGACCGGGCCUGUUGGGACAACAGCUCCGAGGGCUACGCUGCGUGGACUAGGUUCCAGACGCGCUCUGAGGAGGCGCCUCCCGGCUAGUUCCUGAGCGCGCUCGAGAGGAGCGUGCCCCGCAGGAGGGAUUUCGCUGCCUGUGGGGCUUCAGUGCUGAACCAGGCAGCCCUGAGCAGACCAGGACCGAGCUUCCCAAACCUGACCGGGAAGGAGCCCUGGUUGCAUCUGGGAUCCACGUGGUCGACAGAGAAUCAGCUCGCAGCUCACCACCCCAGUGACUUCAGGGCAGCCCACCUUCCCCUGGCGCUCCUCAAACGAGCCAGGGAGUGGCCCCUGCUCAGACUCCCCUCCUGCCUCCCGGACCCUGCAGGCCUACCCGCCCCAGUUGCCCUUUGCCCUCCUGCAGCCUUCUGGGGGUGCUACAUGUCUGAGGCCCGGUCUUCUGUCCUGCUCCUCCUGAUGGGGGGUCUGGGCACUCUCCCUAAUUCAUCGCGAAGACUCUGACACCCAAUGCCCGUCUUCAGGCCCCGGCAGAUGCAGAGAAGUGGGCUUCACACCCACAUCUGCCUGACCUCAGGUGCUGGCUCCUGCAGUCACAGCCCUGAGCCCCGGCCCCUCCAGGCUGUCUCCUGCUUGUCCAGGUGGGCAUGAGCUGGUCAGUUCCUGGCCACUGCCCUUCAGACCCCAUGCCAGGACUUUGGGUUGGGCUCUGGGCAUGGCACUAGCCAGGCCUGGGUGCCUCCUUGAGCAGCUGAGGGCUGGGAGGGAUGACAAUGUAAGCGGCUAUCUGGCUUCAGGCCCAGGCUGGCCAUCUGGUGGCCAUAGCUCUCACAGGCUGGGCCCCUGCUUCUCCUGGCUCCCCUCUUAGGGGCAGGAGACCCUCAGUGGCCUCACUGCGGACUGCUGGACAGGCCCUGUGUGGAGGCACCAUCCGGGUCCGCCAUGCCUCGUGGGUCAGAACAUCCCUGUGAAGUGCAUGGUGUUUUCUGUGGCUGCCACAGGAGGCUCUGGCCAG
rnacentral:lncRNA from 1 species